rnacentral:rRNA from 1 species
AGACAACUAGGAUGUUAGCUUAGAAGCAGCUAUUCAUUCAAGGAGUGCGUAAUAGCUCACUAGUCGAGUGACCCUGCGCCGAAAAUGUACCGGGGCUAAAACAUAUUACCGAAGCUGUGGAUGACACAAAAGUGUCAUGGUAGGAGAGCGUUCUAUGUGUGAAGAAGGUGUACCGUGAGGAGCGCUGGAACGCAUAGAAGUGAGAAUGCCGGUAUGAGUAGCGCAAGACAGGUGAGAAUCCUGUCCACCGUAAGACUAAGGUUUCCAGGGGAAGGCUCGUCCGCCCUGGGUUAGUCGGGACCUAAGGAGAGACCGAAAGGUGUAUCCGAUGGACAACAGGUUGAUAUUCCUGUACUAGAGUAUAUAGUGAUGGAGGGACGCAGUAGGCUAACUAAACCAGACGAUUGGAAGUGUCUGGUCAAACAGUGAGGUGUGAUAUGAGUCAAAUGCUUAUAUCUUUAACAUUGAGCUGUGACGAGGAGCGAAGUUUAGUAGCGAAGUUAGUGAUGUCACACUGCCAAGAAAAGCUUCUAGCGAUACAUAUACUCUACCCGUACCGCAAACCGACACAGGUAGUCGAGGCGAGUAGCCUCAGGUGAGCGAGAGAACUCUCGUUAAGGAACUCGGCAAAAUGGCCCCGUAACUUCGGGAGAAGGGGCGCUGAUUUUAGAUCAGCCGCAGUGAAUAGGCCCAAGCAACUGUUUAUCAAAAACACAGCUCUCUGCUAAAUCGUAAGAUGAUGUAUAGGGGGUGACGCCUGCCCGGUGCUGAAGGUUAAGAGGAGUGCUUAGCGUAAGCGAAGGUAUGAUUGAAGCCCCAGUAAACGGCGGCCGUAACUAUAACGGUCCUAAGGUAGCGAAAUUCCUUGUCGGGUAAGUUCCGACCCGCACGAAAGGCGUAAUGAUUUGGGCACUGUCUCAACGAGAGACUCGGUGAAAUUUUAGUACCUGUGAAGAUGCAGGUUACCCGCGACAGGACGGAAAGACCCCAUGGAGCUUUACUGCAGUUUGAUAUUGAGUAUCUGUACCACAUGUACAGGAUAGGUAGGAGCCUAUGAUAACGGGACGCCAGUUUCGUUUGAGGCGUUGUUGGGAUACUACCCUUGUGUUAUGGCUACUCUAACCCAGAUAGGCAAUCCCUAUCGGAGACAGUGUCUGACGGGCAGUUUGACUGGGGCGGUCGCCUCCUAAAAGGUAACGGAGGCGCCCAAAGGUUCCCUCAGACUGGUUGGAAAUCAGUCGUAGAGUGUAAAGGUAUAAGGGAGCUUGACUGCGAGAGCUACAACUCGAGCAGGGACGAAAGUCGGGCUUAGUGAUCCGGUGGUUCCGUAUGGAAGGGCCAUCGCUCAACGGAUAAAAGCUACCCUCGGGGAUACAGGCUUAUCUCCCCCAAGAGUCACAUCGACGGGGGAGUUUGGGCACUCGAUGUCGGCUCGUCGCAUCCUGGGGCUGUAGUCGGUCCCAGGGGUUGG